rnacentral:tRNA from 1 species
GGGGUUGUGGCUCAGUGAUAGAGUGCUCGCCUAGCAUAUGUGGGGCACUGUGUUCGAUCCUCAGCACCACA